UCUGAUGGACUCAGACGUCCAUCAGUAAGUGUUGAAGAUCUCCAACUGCUUCAGGUAGUGACAGACUUGCAGCUUACCAAGCUCAACUUGCAGCUAACACAACCAACAAUGAACAUUAAACCUGUGUUGCUGGUGUUGGUGUGGGUGUUGGGGGCGGUGUUGGGCGCCGCGCAGGUCAUCAUGACACCCAGAGACUUCCCGGGUCAAAGACGGAUGGGUACCAGGAACUUCCGCGGUGGCCACAGCUUCGGCAAGAGAGGCUUCGUGUCUAAACCAAUUGCAAGACUUUCGUGAGAGGAACAGAAUAACAAAAAGUGAAGUUUUAAUCCAGCCAGACGGUGCGAGAAGUUCUACUGGACCCGAUAGGUAUCUCGCCCAUAACGUGCAGGAAUCACCUCGCUAAGGUCACUAACAGUUACUGGAGCAUGGAAAGGAAAUGAUGCACAGUCUGCUGUACCAACAACCUGGCUGAUUGUUAGUAUACAUAGAGUGGUAAUACUAGUGAACUAGUGCUUUGAAACAUUAAACCUUACAUGCCAUCUAUAAAAUAAACACUUUGACAAUUUUGAUUAUAU